UAUCACUUGCCCCCCACACAAGUUCUGGGAUAGUGAAACUCAGUUAGCCAGCAGAACACCUCAACGGAAGAAGUUCCUUGGGGACUGCCAGAGGUUAGCGCACCUCGUGAUGCUGCUGAUGCAAGUGAGCAGCAGCGUUGCAGAUUGCGGAAGUUAAGCGAAGGGGGUUCCUCGAGCACGAAGGUUGCCCCCCACUCUGAAAGCAAAAUGUCGCCUCAUGAUGAGGUGGUUGAGCAUAUGCGGUUGGCCAGCCGAUUGGGUGAGAUUACUACUGCUGGAUUUUUAUAUAUAUAGACGUUGAAAGAUCUAAUAUGCCAAAGGUAUAGAUAUUGAAAGAGAUAAGAUGCCUUGGUUUUAAAUUAUUUAGAGGCUUGUAUGAGUGGCGGUUCUUUGUGUCAUGUUUAAUUUCUUGCACGGGCAGCACUUGAACAGGCUUUCAAUAACCGAGCGAGUUUAUUUUUCUCGCAAGGGCUCCCUACAGGGAGUCUUUCGAUAGCCCAGCGCAUUACUUCUCUCGCGAGGGUUCCUUUAUUGGAGUCUUUUGACAAUUCAAACGAGUUUACUUACUCGUAAGGGCUGCUUUUUAGGAGUCUUUUUAUAAUCUAAAUAGGUUUAACGGGUUUACUUACUCGUAAGAGCUCCUUUUUUGGAGUCUGUCUAUAAUCCAAAACGGAUUUACUUA